AACAUCCUGGGGUGUUCGUGAUCCCGUAUUUUUGAACCUACAUUCAUUAUAAGGGAUUCCAAUAUUUUUAGGUUAAUGUCAAGCCUCCGUCUGAGUGGAAGACAGCGGUCUAAGUGAGGUCACCCACCUAGCUAAAGCUAGGACUCAGAAAGAGGGAAGCGGCACUUU
rnacentral:other from 1 species